CGGAGGGUGCAAGCGUUGUCCGGAUUUAUUGGGUUUAAAGGGUGCGUAGGCGGCUUUAUAAGUCCGUGGUGAAAGCCAACAGCUCAACUGUUGAACUGCCAUGGAUACUGUAAGGCUUGAGUACAGACGAGGUAGGCGGAAUGGAUGGUGUAGCGGUGAAAUGCAUAGAUACCAUCCAGAACCCCGAUUGCGUAGGCAGCUUACUAGGCUGUAACUGACGCUGAGGCACGAAAGCGUGGGGAGCGAACAGGAUUAGAUACCCUGGUAGUCCACGCUGUAAACGAUGAUUACUCGAUGUUGGCGAUACACAGUCAGCGUCUUAGCGAAAGCGUUAAGUAAUCCACCUGGGGAUACGCCCGCAAGGGUG
rnacentral:rRNA from 1 species